CCUACGGGAGGCUGCAGUGAGGAAUAUUGGUCAAUGGGCGCGAGCCUGAACCAGCCAAGUAGCGUGAAGGAUGAAUGUCCUACGGGUUGUAAACUUCUUUUAUAAAGGAAUAAAGUGAGGCACGUGUGCCUGUUUGAAUGUACUUUAUGAAUAAGCAUCGGCUAACUCCGUGCCAGCAGCCGCGGUAAUACGGAGGAUCCGAGCGUUAUCCGGAUUUAUUGGGUUUAAAGGGUGCGUAGAUGGGUGGUUAAGUCAGUUGUGAAAGUUUGCGGCUCAACCGUAAAAUUGCCAUUGAUACUGGCAGUCUUGAGUACAGUUGAAGUAUGCGGAAUUCGUGGUGUAGCGGUGAAAUGCUUAGAUAUCGCGAAGAACUCCGAUUGCGAAGGCAGCAUACUAACCUGCCACUGACAUUGAGGCACGAAAGUGUGGGUAUCGAACAGGAUUAGAUACCCUUGUAGUC
rnacentral:rRNA from 1 species